CACAUUCCUGAGUGCCUACUAUGUGCAAGCGCAGUGUUAAAGGCAAAGAGGUAGAGAGUACCAGGGCUCUGGGCCGACCUCUGUGUGCUGCCAGUCUAAUGGGUGAGAGUGUUGGGGGCGGGCGUGGGGGAGGAAAGACAGUUAUCAAAUAAUCACUGUAUACCGAUAAGUUUAAGCAAAUCAGUACAUAAUUAUACACCAGGGGAAGUGAUGUGAGGAAAAGAAGAGUGUUGUGAAAGUGAAUAGGGUCCUAAUGUAGGGUGGGGGGAUGAAGACAGAGCCUCCUUGGGAAGAUGGCAUUUAAGCCAAGAGACAAGAAUGAUCAGGAGUUGUGCCGGCCAAGAGAGAAAGGGAAAUUUUUCUAGACAGAAGGAACAACUUGUCCCAGACACGAAGGUGGGAAGGAAGGAACACAGGGAGUGUAAGGAGUAAAGCAGGUAGUGCCACACAAUGGAUUUGCAUUUUAUCUUGUGAGGAACAAAAAGCCAUUUUCAUCAAUGGAAUGAUAUCAAAUCUGGGUUUCCAAACGGCCACCUCGGCUGCAUGGCACAGAAGACAAGGGGAGUGGGUGUGGGGAGUCCCUUGUAGCUUUCCAGACACAGUAAUGGUGACCAGACAGUGGGGUUGGCCUGGGGAGCCAGAGAGGGAAAGAAUGUAAGAUCAGUUCUUGGGGGCCUGGGGAAGCCGUGGUAACACCUAGGCUUUGGUCUUGAGUACAUGAAGGGAUGAAAGAGUCCUUGGCUAGAGACAGACUGAGGGGGGAGAUCAGAAGUUUGGCUUUGAGGACGUGAAUUUGAAGUGCCUGAGCAACCCUUAGGUGGAUAAGGAAACAGGCAGUUUUCUUUGAGGCUGGAGCUCAGGAGGGUGGCUGAAGAUCCUCAGCACACCCUUCAUGGUGCUGGUGAGACCCCAAGGGAGGGAAGGUAGAUAGAAAAGUGGGCAGAGGAGGAGCAGCCAGGAAAGGAGACUGAGAAGCAGAAGAACCAGGUAAUAAUGGGUCCCAGAAAGAAAGGUUUAAGAAGGAAGGAGCGUUCAGUGGGGUUGAGAAGUGUGGAAGACAGGAAUACACCAUUGGGUUCUGGGAUGAAGAGCAUUUUGUUUGUGGACUGUAUCCUUUAGGUUCUUUACCCUAAAUUAAUUGACUUAAAAAAUAAGUAGUCUGCCAUUCAUUGGCUGAUGAUUGGAGUGACUUGGCAUUGUCAUCAAGGACUUAGGUUCAUUCCAUCUCUGUGGUCCUUUUGCUGAUUUUUUGUUCAUGGUCACACAAUGAUCACCCUAGUACCUGGGGUCACAUCUAAGUCAAGGAGAUGUCCAUUCCUCCUUGAGGGGAGAUUCAAACAGGCCUGGUAAGGGUUCAGUGUGUCCAUGCCAGGCACACCCAGUAUCCAAUACUGGAAGGUAAGAGAAGACUUGUAGUGGAAGUUCUUGUUUAGAAUAAGAGGGGAGCCGGGCACGGGGUGCAUGCAUGUAAUCCCAGUGGCUCUGGAGGCUGAGGCAGGAAGAUUGCAAUUUCAAAGCCAGCCUCAGAAAAGCAAGGUGCUAAGCAACUCAGUGAGACCCUGUCUGUAAAUAAAAUACAAAAUAGGGCUGGGGAUGUGGCUCAGUGGUUGAGUGCCCCCGAGUUCAAUCCCUGGUACCCCCUCCCCCACAAAAAAGAAGAGGGGAAGCUAAGCACUGGCAAGGAUCUGGAGCAAUUUGCAGUUCAUCAGCACGUUGCUGGUGGCAGAGAAAGUUGGUCCAACUCCCGCACAAAACUGUCAGUCUACUAAAUCUGCACAUGCAUGUAUGCUAUGACCUAGAAUUGGCACUUCUAGGUAUUUACCCUAGAGAAAUGAGUCUCUUAAGUCUAUACAAAGACUUGUGCAAGAACGUUCACAGAACAUAAAUUCAUGCCAGGUAUUGCCACACACACUGUAAUCCCAGCAACUUGGGAGGCUGAGGAAAGGAUCGCAAAUUUGAAGCCAGCCUUGGCAAUUUAGCAAGAAUCUGUCUCAAGAUAAAAAAUAAAAAAGGACUGGGGAUGUGGCUCAGUGGUUAAGCACCCCUGGGUUCGUUCAUUCCCUGGCACCAAAGGGGGAAAAAAAAAAAGUCAUAGCUCCACCGGUCUGGAAAUACCCCACUGUUUAUCAGCAGGAGAACAGAUCAACAAAUGGUGUCUUGUUUUUUGAAUGGAAUAUAGUUGGCCUUCAGUCCACAGGUUCUGCUUCUGAAGUUUCAGCUAACAUCUGGUUAAAAAUAUUUGGGGAAAAACUGCAUCAAAAUUCUAUCUGAAUAGACUGUUACCAUCAGUCUAGAAAGUUCCCUCAUACCUCACUCACCCUGGCAAACAAUGCUCUGAUUUUUUUUCUACCAUAGAAUAGUUUUCCAUAUAAAUGGGAUCACGCAGUACAUAUAAAACCUUUACUAUACAGACUUUUUUUUUUUUUUUUGAUACUGGGGAUUGAACCAGUGCUUUUAACACUGAGCUAUAUCUCCAGCACAUUUUUUAUUUUGAGACAGGGUCUCAUUGAGUUGCUCAGGCCCUUUCGCAGUUGCUGAGGCUGGCCUUGAAUUGGCAAUUCUCCUGCCUCAGCCUCCUGAGUUGCUGGGAUUACAGGUGUGGCUACUACUACCAUUUUGAUGUUCAUCCAUUUUGUUAUGUGUAUCAAAACUUUGCUCCUUUUUCAAGCUGGUUAGUAUUCCAUGAAUAACUGUUUGAUAGAUAUUCAUUGGUUCCCCUCUCCCCAGUUUGUGUGUGUUAUUAAAAAAAGCUGUUAUGAAUAUUCUUGCAUUAAAAAAUUCCAUCUGAACUGAACAUGUACAGAAUUUCU
rnacentral:lncRNA from 1 species